UCCUCAGUAGCUCAGUGGUAGAGCGUCCGACUGUUAAUCGGAUGGUCGCUGGUUCGAGCCCAGCCUGGGGAG
rnacentral:tRNA from 1 species